rnacentral:rRNA from 1 species
AUUGAACGCUGGCGGCAUGCUUUACACAUGCAAGUCGAACGGCAGCACGGGGGCAACCCUGGUGGCGAGUGGCGAACGGGUGAGUAAUGCAUCGGAACGUACCGUGUAAUGGGGGAUAACGUAGCGAAAGUUACGCUAAUACCGCAUACGCCCUGAGGGGGAAAGCGGGGGAUCGUAAGACCUCGCGUUAUACGAGCGGCCGAUGUCGGAUUAGCUAGUUGGUGGGGUAAAGGCCCACCAAGGCGACGAUCCGUAGCGGGUCUGAGAGGAUGAUCCGCCACACUGGGACUGAGACACGGCCCAGACUCCUACGGGAGGCAGCAGUCGGGAAUAUUGGACAAUGGGGGCAACCCUGAUCCAGCAAUACCGCGUGUGUGAAGAAGGCCUGCGGGUUGUAAAGCACUUUUAGUAGGGAAGAUAAUGACGUUACCUACAGAAAAAGCACCGGCUAACUCCGUG